GGCUCCUACAUGCAUGAGGCCUGGGGUGGAUAGUCGGCCGUCUUCCCGGAGAAUCGGAUUAGUCGGCGGGCUUCCCGAGGAAGGAGCAGUGUGGGCGGGGUUUAUCCGCCGUUUAUAUCUGUGCCAGGCUUCUUGGUAAUACAGAGGGUGCGAGCGUUAAUCGGAUUUACUGGGCGUAAAGCGUGCGUAGGCGGCUUUUUAAGUCGGAUGUGAAAUCCCCGAGUUUAACUUGGGAAUUGCAUUCGAUACUGGGAAGCUAGAGUAUGGGAGAGGAUGGUACAAUUCCAGGUGUAUCGGUGAAAUGCGUACACAUCUGGAUGAAUACCGAUGGCGAACGCAGCCAUCUGGCCUAAUACUGACGCUGAGGUACCAAAGCAUGGGGAGCAAACAGGAUUCAAUACCCUGUCUACUCCAGCCGUAAACGAUGUCUACUAGCCGUGGGGGCCUUUGAGGCUUUUAUGGCCCCGCUAAUGCGAUAAGUACACCGGCUUGGGAUUACGGUCUCAAAAUAAAACUCAAA
rnacentral:rRNA from 1 species